rnacentral:rRNA from 1 species
GAUGAACGCUGGCGGCGUGCUUAACACAUGCAAGUCGAACGGGAAUUAUUUUAUUGAAACUUCGGUCGAUUUCAUUUAAUUCUAGUGGCGGACGGGUGAGUAACGCGUGGGUAACCUGCCUUAUACAGGGGGAUAACAGUCAGAAAUGGCUGCUAAUACCGCAUAAGCGCACCGAGCUGCAUGGCUCAGUGUGAAAAACUCCGGUGGUAUAAGAUGGACCCGCGUUGGAUUAGCUUGUUGGCAGGGUAACGGCCUACCAAGGCGACGAUCCAUAGCCGGCCUGAGAGGGUGAACGGCCACAUUGGGACUGAGACACGGCCCAGACUCCUACGGGAGGCAGCAGUGGGGAAUAUUGCACAAUGGGGGAAACCCUGAUGCAGCGACGCCGCGUGAAGGAAGAAGUAUCUCGGUAUGUAAACUUCUAUCAGCAGGGAAGAUAGUGACGGUACCUGACUAAGAAGCCCCGGCUAACUACGUG